CAAAAAAUUUUGGUCUGUGAAGUUCGUGCGGAUGAAAUUCGAUUUGAAAGCCAGCGAAAUAUGCAAAAUAAAGUGAAAUACCAGUGCCUCGCGGACGAGGAGCGCUUUAGCGGAGCGUCCCGCAGCCAGUAAAGCCAAAAGAGCGGCCCCAAAUCUGGUAAUUUCGCGGCGAAAAGCAAGCAGGAGAAGAAGAAGCAGCAGCAGCAGUAGUACAAACAGCAAAAGUGUAGUUGUGAUCGAAAAUCGAAAGUGUGAAGCAUUUUCUAUAAAUAGUGCAAAAUCAAAACCAAAUUCCCAGUGCAAGCAAAAGCGCAAUAAAAAACAAUAACAAAAACCGGGGAUAAAGCGAACAAUAUAACAACGAUAUAUAUACAUAUAACUGGAGCGGUCGAUCGAUCUCACAGAGCGCGCGCUCUGCACAAAGAGAGCAGGAUUAUCUGAAGGAUCGCCUUAGGAUCUCCAAGGAUCUCCAAGAUGUCCUCGCUGGACGCGCGCAACAACUCGGCGAUGAUGAAGCGGGCGGAGCAGCUGAAGCGCUGGGAGGAGUCCGACACCAACCGCGCCGCCCCCACCCCACGCCACGAGCACGGGCGCCGGAUCAAGUUCAGCUCCGGCUGCGUCUUCCUCGCCGCCUGCCUCUCCGGCGACAAGGACGAGGUCAUCCAGCUCCUCGACCAGGGCGCCGACAUCAACACGGCCAACGUCGACGGCCUGACCGCCCUGCAUCAGGCGUGCAUAGAUGACAAUCUCGACAUGGUAGAGUUUCUGGUGGAGCGAGGUGCCGACAUAAACCGACAGGAUAAUGAGGGCUGGACGCCCUUGCACGCCACUGCCUCCUGCGGCUUUGUGAGCAUAGCUCGGUACUUGGUGGAAAAUGGCGCUGAUGUGGCCGCUGUGAACAGCGAUGGCGAUCUGGCCUUGGACCUGGCCAUCGAUGUGCAACACAUGGCCAUGAUCGACUACAUGGAGAAGAUGGUGCAGGAGCUGAACAUAAAUGUGGAUGAGGCUCGAAAGGCUGAGGAGCAGGCGAUGCUGAACGAUGCCAAAAAGUGGCUGAGAAGCGAUGCCGCCGAGGUGGACAGACCGCAUCCAAAAACGGGAGCCACAGCGCUUCACGUGGCCGCCGCAAAGGGUUACACGAAAGUUCUGGGCCUGCUCCUGGCCGGUCGCGGCAAUGUGGAUCGCCAGGACAACGAUGGCUGGACGCCUCUGCACGCGGCAUCGCAUUGGGGUCAACGGGAAACGGCCGAGAUGCUCGUGGAGUCACUGGCCGACAUGGAUAUACGCAACUAUGCUGGGCAGUCAUGCAUCGAUGUGGCCGAUCGCAAAAUAGUCAAAUUCCUGGAAGAACUGCGGGCCAACAAACGCAACAAACGGCGACCAUCUAGUCAAAUCAGCAGAAUCUCAGAUACGAUUGAAAACCAUGUGGACAAGACGCCCACCAAACUGGUGCGCGUCGAAGUGAGAACUGAUGCCACAAAGGAUGCUGCCAGUGGCUCAGGUGAAUCUGCCAAAGCUGAGGCUUUGAUUCCAAACGCUGCUGAUGAUGAUGAUGGUGAAGGUGGAGGAGUGGUGGCCACUGGCCAGAGCGAUACAGAGGAGCUGAGCGAUUCCACGGAAAGCUCACACUCGACCAGUCUUUCCGAAAGCGAAGCUGAGAACGUCAAGCCCAAUCAGCAGAUCCAUGCCACCGAACAUCCAGUCGAGGAGGAGGCGCCCUGGCGACGCAAGCUGCCACGGACACCAAACGACAGUCCCACUAAUAAUCAAGUUCCUGAUAGAGAGCUUAGCAGCAAUAGCUCGGAGACCGCCAACGACGUCAUUUUGCGACGCACGCAAAGCUUUGAGAACGAUCAAAAAUUCUAUCAAAAGUACAAUGAGCUGCGGGCACGCAUAAAGGCCAACUCCUGUCCCAUUCUGCCGGCGAAUGCGAAUGCUAAUGCCGCUGCUGCCAAUAAUUCCAAUAACAACAAUAAUCUUAGUAGCAAUAACAAUCAUAAUAACAACAAUAACAACAACAAAAGCGAUCUGCUGUUGGGAUAUGCUGCUGGCACAACAACAACAAGCACCUCCACAACAACUACAACAACAAUCAGUACAUUCAACAACACCCACUCGAACACCAACAACACAAGCACCCCACAACAACAACAAUCAGCAGCUUCAGCUUCGGCCACAAAUCAAUUAUAUAGCGUACAAAGAUCGGCCUCACUCAAAGAUAACUCAAUGUAUUACAGGAAACCGAACGUUACGAUUGCCACGCCAACAAGUGCAGCAGCCACGGCAAACACGGCGCUCAAUUCUCCAUCGACUGUACAGACCCCACCAAUUCGCAGCCAAGUUACAGCGAAAUCAGCAGAAAAGAGCAAUAAUGGCAGCUCAUCCACGGCCAGUGUCAGCGAUGUGGAGAGCUCCAAGCCACCGCCCAAACAAUCCGCGAGCAAUAUGAUCAAAAACUUCUUCAAAUCGUUUGUGCCACCGGUGCGCGAUGAGGAGAGUGAAACGCAGCGAAAGGCACAUGCCAAGCGCGUGCGGGAGACCCGCCGGUCAACCCAGGGCGUUACUCUGGACGAGAUCAAGAGUGCCGAGGAGCUGGUCAAGAAGAAGAACAUGGGCAUGGCCAACAACAACAACAAUAACAAUAUCAGCACCACCACUACGAACACCAUCAGCAACAGCGGCAACGAAACAAGCUCAGCAUCAUCGACAUCGACAUCAGCUCCAACAUCAUCGAUCCUCGACAGCAAUGAGCAGCGGGACGAGUCGCAACCGCCACCACCGCCCACCACACCACCGCCAGCCAUAAUACCCACCACAACGACGGCCACCGAUGAGACGGAGAUCGAGGAGGUGGUAACCAAUCCUCCUCCAGCUGUCCAAAGUCUGAACGACACCACUGCUAGUUUUACCCUAUCCGCUCCGGUGCGAAGAUCGCUUUCGGGCGAUGCCGAUGCCAAUAGUGAUCCCGAGGGGGAUCAGGAUCAGUCGGUGGUCAGUGCCAGCUAUACGAUAAUGCCCAGGCGGGAAAGGCUUCCCGAAAGCACAGAGAAUGCAGAGAGUAUCAGAUCUCCGCAAAAGACUGACCCAGUUGCCAAAAGUUCCAGCGAGGAGAAGGCCGAGGAGCCACCGCUUGUCAGGCCCACGGAUCUGCCACUGAUCCCAGCUCCUGCCGUGGCCAGCACAGAAGCUAUUAAAUCAUCCUCGGCGGCCACCACGCCCGCUGCCCUCGAGAGUCCAGUGCGUUUGCGGGACAAGCGGGGUUUGGCCGGCAGUCAGGAGUCGGAAACUAAGUCCGAUACCGCUUCGCCCGUGACCUCUCAUCCGGAUUUCAAUGCCAGAGACUCACUACUUAGUCUGUACGCCCGACGCACAACGGAAAGCGGCGCGGGAGGAGGUGCUGGUGGUGGUGCAGGUGGAGCGAGUGGAGCUGCCUCUUCGUCUUCCACUUCUGCAGCAGAAAGGCGUCCGUCUUGGCGCCUGAAAUUCGAUGCCGGCUCCAAGUUUAAACUGGAGGACAUAACCAGCGGGGGCACAUAUCCGCCCAACAACAGCACUAUUAUCCCGAGUGCUCCGGCGGUGAUGGCAGCCGUCAAUUUAUCAACUACAACUGGAGUCCAGCGGCGCAUCAGCAGCGGUCCCAACGCACUAAAUGCUUCCAAUCAGUCGCUCAACUCUGUGGGUCGUCCUGUUUCCGCGCCCAGCGAGGGCACAAACAACAGUGCCUAUGUUACGCCCUCAGCUCGAAAGUACGAGGCGAAUGCCACGUCAACGGCGGCGAACUCAACAACGGCCGCGACCACUAACUCAACCUCCAAUUCAGUGUCUGCAACCAGUGCCAAUCAUGCAGCGGCUACGGCAACUAGCGCCACGUCAAACCACGACGAUAAGGAUAACGACAAGGAGAACGAUAAUCGCACACAGACCGUCAUUCAGAGGCGACGCAAGCCGAAGCGCAGAUCAACAGGCGUGGUGCACAUCGAUAUGGAUGAACUGGAUCCCGAGCGACAGAACGAAUCGUCAAACAACGACAACGAGGAGAAGGAAAAGGAGAGUGGCAGUGAGCGGACUUCCCGUUCCCGACUGGGCAGCACCGCGAGUACGGCCACCACGAGCGAGUCGAAGAGCUCCACCAGUAACGAUAAAGCGGAGAAUGGUGAUGGCAUUGACUACAAGGCACUCUACGAAGCUGCCAAAUUGGAGAACGAUAAGCUGAAGCAGAUAAUCAAGCAGAAGGACGAUGAAGCCGUGCAGACACGUGCAACGCUCGAGAGAUUCGCCAAUGCCACAACGAAAAAUUCACUAUCUGAACUUGAGAAACGCGAAAGAAGAGCUAUGGAACGCAAGCUUUCCGAGUUGGAAGAAGAGCUCAAGCUAUUGCAGAAGCUAAAGACUGAGAACGAUCGUCUGCGAGCCGAGAAUCGGGCCCUCACGCGGGUCGUCUCCAAGCUGACCACCUCGGCUCAGAGUCAGCUGGCCAAGACCAAAUAGACGCAGAUCAAAAGCAUUUAGAUUGCCCAGCACCAGCCCACAUACACCCGAAAUUCUCACGCCCCUUGCUCACAAGCACAAUGUCGCGAUUAUCGUUAUAUCGUUUCUAUUAAAACUGGAAAAAGAUCGAUGUUCUUAUAGGUAAACAUCGAUAAUCAAUAACACCGAUGUUUUUCUUGCUCUAGAUUCUUUAACUCAAUUUUUAACACACCUCGAUGUCGUUAUGAAUUAUAUAUGGAUAUUUAAGCAUAACCGAAUACACAAUAACUAAAUGUAUUGUAGCUAAAUUAAGUUAUCAUUGAGCUCAUUGGCUUCGGACUGGUCACUGGUAAAACGUAAACCUUAAACAUUACUAUACACAACAACUCCUUGGGAGUUACUAUAUACUACAAAACCCUUUGAUAAAACCGCAAACUUCAAAAGUAGUUAAUUUUUAAAUAGUAAAAUAUUAAUCUCACGGCUUGAUCGUUUUUGAUAACCUAAAUAUGCGCUAGGAUAAAAAUGUUUGCGAAUUUAUAAUGUAAUUAUUAUCAAACUAUAUUUUAUGGGAACUACAGACCACUGUACGGUUGAUAAGUACUUUAAAAUCAAAAGCAAACAUACACUCGAAUCAAAGUAAAGCUCAUCGAAACCAACGAGAUCAAUCAUCAAGCCCCCACCACCAAAAAAAUAAACAGCAUCAGCAAAUAGCGGCCCAAGGAUCUGGAGGCUACUUGUAGGGUCUCCAGAAGUCGAACAUCAGGGAGAGCAAAGUGGUCUAGUUGGUGAUGCUGGAUGCUUAACGCAACUCGAUACCUACAAGUCGGAUAAUCAUCGCCUGAAGGAGGAGAACGCCGCGUUGAUUAGAGUAAUUAGCAAAUUAAGUAAAUGAAAUUAUGUUUUACUUUCAGUGUAUGUAUGUCUGAGAACCUAUAUCAUCGAGAAGCAACAAUUUUACUUUAUUUACCAGCUGCAAAAAGGCUGAAAAAAUAAGAGAAUGUUAAAGCGAAAAGCGAUGUAAGCGAAAGCGGGAUAUUCGCGUGAAAAUUUCAAAAUUUGUUUAUUAUUUAUGUUAGGCCCCUAAGAAUUAGGUGAAACCAUGUUUCAAAUAUCGUUGAGAAUUGUUUCGUUCGUUUUUAUAUGAAAAAAAUAAUAAUAAAAUCUUAUGUAUUUGGACAAAUUUUAUAUACGAAAUAGAGCAAAUUAUAAAUAAACUUACACAAAUCAAGCUUAACUAUAUUUACAUAAACAUACGCGAAGUGUAUAACGAUCAGAAGAUCGCAAGAAAUGAAAUGAAUAACAAAAACCUUUACAUACAAACUGAGAACAUAUUCAUCAAAUGAGCCCUAGUUAUAUACAAUAGUUAUACACAUUACAUAAUAUAUAUUUAAAUCAACCGAAUCAUAAGUUCAACAUUUCAAUGUGUAAUAUCAUCGAGGAUCCAGACCGCCAGUUGAGAGAGUCCGGAGAUGUGUCGAAACCAGCCCACGCGUCAACUUACUAAGUGUAAUCGUUAUCAUCCAAUUGUAAUUGUGUUUAGUGCUUCAUAUAUAUAGGCAUCUGUGAAGCCAUCAAAAGCUAUAGUAUACGUACCAUAAAACUGAGGAGACUUUGUUGCAGGAGCUCCAUGGCGCUAUCCUAUAGAUAGGAUGGGUUUCACUACAGAUGCACUAUUAUUUCUAUUAUUUGAGUACCUUAGUUUAAGCAGGCACUUUUAGUUCUCUCCUUCACUUCGAAACGUAUUAUAUACAUUUACAUCGUACUAUAUUUUACUUUCGCUUAUAACGAAACAAAUGAUCAUACGCAUAUUUCUGUUAUUUAUUAAAUUCGCUUAAGAGAUUUUGUGUUACUCUACUCGUAAAUGGAAACGAUAAUCAAGCAUAAACAAACAUAAAAACGUGAAUUGUGUAAUAUGUAAAAUUGUGUGAGAAAAUAUUUAAGAAAAUUUGAUUCAAAUACGAAACUUAAUAAAUGUGAUUGCAAGCAAA